ensembl:lncRNA
GGAGGUUAGGAGGGAGAUCAGUGCUGGUCUGCGUUCACAGCUUGCUGGUUCUUUUUCGAGAAGGCUCUGAGGGCUGUGAAAGAUUACAAAAAGGGAGAGAAAAGCGAAGGAAAAGGCUAAGAAGAAUAAAAAUCUAUCUUAAGAUGCAGGUUCAAUUGCUUUUUCUUUCUCUCUCUCGGGCAGUCAAAUGGCAGAAAAAAAAGGAAAACGCAAGAAAUCUUCCAGUCGUGGGGAAGAACCCAAGAGCGCUGCGAAGGUGGGUGGUCAUUCCUGCGGGUCGUCGUCGCUGGCAAUGGGGAUCCGACUGCGGAUCUGAUUUCGGAGCUGUUCUAUCAACUCGGGAUCCUGCUGCUGCAUCUGCUGAGCGAACUGCUGACCCGCCUGGAUGAGACUGGCGAGCUCGUUCUGCAAGGGGCUGGUGCCUGGAGUCCCCAGGAGGUUGUGGCUGCCCAAAAUCAUGCCGGACCUGAGCUGUCGAAUUGGGGAUUGUUCAUUAGGUUUGAUGCCAUGCUCAAGAAGCUUGGGUUGUUCAGCAGGCCCACGAUGUCCAAGCUGCGGACAUCUCCCGGGGGCUGCGCGCCUCUCUCAGCUCCGGUUCACUGUGUGGAGGUGGGACUUGUACUUGUCGUUGUCGGGAUCCAGCUCCAAGGCCUCCUGCUCCUAGUAGGCCUCGGUGUGCUUGUUCAGACUGGAAAGCGCCAGGCCCAUCCUGCCGUAGCUUUGGCUGUAGGACGGGUCUGUGCAGAAGGCUGCUCGCAGUCCUGCCCCGUCCUCUGUAGUCCCCCAGUCGGCUGUAAAUUGCAGCUCUGUUACAGAAACACAUGGCGCUGGCCAUCAGCUUAACGGCUUUGCCUUCGAAAGGAACGGCAGCUUCAAAGUUUUUUACUUUCUUCUGCUUGUUUCCUUCUGUUUGGAGGUAUUCUGCCCCGGCAGAGUCCUCUUCCAAAGGCAGAGUUUGCUCCUGGCUCCGCAGGUCCUGUGGCAUCUCCUUGCCCUCAGCGCUGCUUCAACUAUUUCUGGAAGAGUGUGAGGGAGUGCAAGGUUGCUGUCUUCCACCGUCACCCCAAUGACGGUCUCCAGGCACUGGAUGGUCACGUCCAGGCUCUCCUGGGCGUCAGACGAAAGCGCCUCGUGCAGGAGCUGGCCGUGCAAGAACUGGUGAUGGCGUAGGCCAGGUGACAAGAUUCCUAUCGGGCACCCUGACUCCUUUACACAGUUCUCAUCUAAAAAGUCUGGAAAAGGCCAGACUUCUGAAGAUCCAGCCAUGUAAAUGCGACAAUUCUAUGGACUGACGAUGCUGCAAGCCUUGGACAUCAUGCAUUAAUCCUUUUAGAUGGCUCAGGGCAGCUCCUUUUCUCCUUAUCUUCUCUCAUUGAGACAUGGGGUGGACUCUGCCUGACUCAAUUUCAGCCUCACAUUACAGAGAGGAAUGGAAGCAUUUCUAGAGAAGCCUGGGUAUGCACUGGAAGAAACACAU